AACGUGAAACCACCACGAGGUUAAAGCGGAUGUACAUACGUAGCCGAACGGGGGAUCUCAUCUCCAAGAGCCGCCAGGCGUGGUUGCGUUCGGACCGUCGGCGUCCUCGCCCCUCACCGGGCGUAGGUCGCGCCGGAGGCCGUCGUAGCUUCGGUCUCGGUGGACGAUGGGGUGUAUUUUCCUCCUUAGUAGGCAGUCGCGGCCGCUCGACGGUUGUCUAAGGCUCGGGAGUUGGGAACCGUUCAGCGGGACGACCGCUGGCGGGGACGCUCCCUUGAUUCUGGCGGACUGUCGGGCGGUGAAACUGAGACGAUUCGGUCUAGACAGAGAGACCGAGCCGUACGCGGCUGAAAGAGCGAUCGUUCAUCCGUCCCGUCUUGAAACACGGACCAAGGAGUCUAUCAUGUGCGCGAGUCAAAGGGUUGGCUAAACCCAAAGGCGCUAACGAAAGUAAAAAAGGCCUCCCGAAGCCCUCGGGCUUAGGGCGGUCGUUGGGUCGAUCCGAGCUCCCUUGGGGGACCGGCGCAGACCCGGGGCUCGCCGCUACCUCCGUUAGAGUCCCCGUUCGCGCGGGGAUUCGCGGCGGACGGCGGGCACCUUGAGCGUACAUGCUAGUACCCGAAAGAUGGUGAUCUAUGCCUGGCCAGGAUGAAGCCAGAGGAAACUCUGGUGGAGGUCCGUAGCGAUUCUGACGUGCAAAUCGAUCGUCAGAGCUGGGUAUAGGGGCGAAAGACCAAUCGAACCAUCUAGUAGCU
rnacentral:rRNA from 1 species